rnacentral:rRNA from 1 species
UACGUAGGGACCGAGCGUUGUCCGGAAUCAUUGGGCGUAAAGAGCGUGUAGGCGGCCUUUUAAGUCCUGCGUGAAAUCCUGCGGCUCAACCGCAGACGGUCGUGGGAAACUGGAAGGCUAGAGUGCGGGAGAGGAGAGUGGAAUUCCCGGUGUAGCGGUGAAAUGCGCAGAUAUCGGGAAGAACACCCGUGGCGAAGGCGGCUCUCUGGAACGCAACUGGACGCUGAGACGCGAAAGCG